AGCUAAUAGAUACCCGGGUAGUCCACGCCGUAAACGAUGGACGCUCGGCGUGUGGUGGCGGUAUCCGUCACGGCGCGCCUUAGCUAACGCGGUAAGCGUCCCGCCUGGGAACUACGAGCGCAAGCUUAAAACUCAAAGGAAUUGACGGGGGCCCGGCACAAGCAGCGGAGCGUGUGGUUUAAUUCGACGCAACGCGCAGAACCUUACCCAGGUUUGUACAUGCUACUGCAAGCCGGUGAAAGCCGGUCGCCUUCGAGGGUGUAGCACAGAUGCUGCAUGGCUGUCGUCAGCUCGUGUCGUGAGAUGUUGGGUUAAGUCCCGCAACGAGCGCAACCCUACGGUCAGUUAUAUGUGUCUGGCCGGACUGCCCACUUUGGGAGGAAGGCGGGGAUGACGUCAAGUCCGCAUGGCUCUUACGCCUGGGGCGACACACACGCUACAAUGCCACCGACAGCGCGCAGCGACCGUGCAAACGGAAGCAAAUCGUGAAACGGUGGCCCAGUGCAGAUUGGGGGUCUGCAACUCGCCCCC
rnacentral:rRNA from 1 species